UUUAUGAAUAAUAAAUGCCCCUGCACUGAGCCAGAGCCUUUAAUUUGCAUAUCAGCACAGCCUUAGUGCGCGCGUUACUGUGAGCCCUUCCAGCCUGCAUAAAAACCAGAAUCAGAGAGAAAAAGUGCCUUAACAGACAAUGCUGCUGGAGGGAACGGACAAUCAACAUGUGUCUGCAGCGCGACAGGCUUGUUUCUGAGUGUCCAGGGUCAGCUCCCCAAGGGAACGCUCCAAAGGACUGCAGUGACCUGCCAACACUUCUCCCCCGUCAUCCUGCAAGCGAGAGGUCAAAGACGAUGUCUGAGGCGGCGGCGGAUCAAUGUGUGACCUUCUCACUUAUAAUCAGGAUUAGGGCAAUUGACCCUUUCAGAUUUUUUCUAAUGUUCUGAAGAUGAUUUUAUUUUUCAGGGAAAUGUGAUGCAUUGCUUUGAAGUAACGAGAACUAUUUAAGUUAUAUUAGUGAAGUAAUUUGUUUCUUGUGAGGCAAGACCAAAGAUAUGAACAGAGCAAAACAAAUAUUGUAAAUUUGUUCCCUUACCAAUAUCAACAAGGUAAAACUUUGCAGGUAAACUAAACUGAUGCACUAAUCUAUCUAGAUUAAAAGAAAAUAAUCAGCAGGUGGACAAAUGAAUUUAGCUGGUCUCUAGAACUAAGAUUAGUUUUAUAUAUGUUCUAUUUCACAGUUUCCAAAGACACCCAACUACGUGAAUAUAUCAGAAACAUCAGCUGGCUUUAAAGCUAUGUGAACCAGAAGUUUAACUACUACAUGAAUGCAAGUUGCAUUAUUUUCCUAAUAAAAUAUAACAGUGAAAAUUAGCUUCACCAAGCUUGAAGCACGUAGAGGAGAGAAGUGGGGAGAAAAAAAGCAAUUGCCAGUUCCACAUUUUUCUUAAAGUGUAUGGGUAGAAUAAAAUGAUUUUUUUUAAAUAAUAUGUAUUUUAUUGAUAUUAUAUUGACAUUGGAGAUACCUAAAAAGGAAAACCCCCUCAAAAGGCAACAACACUAUGUGCACACUGCAGCACCUUUGUUCUAGUUCAAGUCCCGCAUUCACUAAAGUGCCAAAAAUCCUCCUAAUGAACGGUCAUCCGGAGUGCUGCAUAAACGACAACAACAUCACACGGCGUUCCAUAUCAAAAGAUCCCAUCUACUCUCAUCCUUCCACUGGCUCAAUCCGUGGCCCGUUCUCUGGACACAUUAUUACCGUCAUCAUUUUAACAUGAAAGGGAGGAAACAAGUGCUGCACCACUACCAAGGAGACACCUUGAUCCCAGAGCAUUUGCAUUCGCCACCUUGUUCCGCCUGAUGUAUGAACGAGUUAGCGCUGGGCUCUGUGAUUGGCCGGCGCUGAAAAGCAGAAGCAGGCACUCUGCUAAUGCUGCAUAUGUUGUUCCCCCUUCCCCCCCCUUCUUCCACACUGUGUCACACUCAGGCGGUGGCACUAGAGGGCAGUCCACCCUGUUGCUUUUUGUUGUGGAGGAGGCAGACACGGUUGGACUCACACUGAGGGAAUGAUCUUUUAAAAUAUUUUUGUCAAUUCCAUGAAAAAUUAGCUAGGGAUUUUUGGAAAUCAGUGGUUUGACAAUUACGUCUGGACCGGACGGUUUAUCCUCACUUGAGUGCUGGGAAGGAAAACUCGUCAGUUGGUUUUCGUCAACAGGAAAACUCUGUUAGUUCAUGCAAUGUGAAUAUACAUUGCAUGGCAACAAGGAUGCUUUCCAAAAGCUUUUAAAGACAGCCUUUUAUUUUAAAGAGAUAGGAUAAUGCUCUCACACACACGCACACACACAGCUGGACUGCUGCUUUCUGUCUCUGGCGCAGUCAUUCAGGAGGCUGCUAAUUAAAGACACACAACAAUGAAGCGUGGAAACCCCAAAGCAACAGUGUUAAUCAGAGAGAGAAAAAAAAAAAGGUAAGAGCAGUAGUGAUUACAGUGAGACCGUUUCAGCAGACCUCAGAUUUGAUCUAAGUGGCGAUUUUAAUAUAGUUCAUAAGGACUUCUUGUCCAUUUCUUUCCCCGUCUGCCAGAAGGUGGUUGAGUCCGAGACAAAUCCAGAAAGCUUUAUUACUGGAUGAGUUCUGGGAAAGAAGCGUUUGCUUCAACUUAUUUGAUGAUAUUAAAUCAUCAUCAAACACUCUAUUGUUUCAGAUCAUUGUAAAAAUAUUCUGCUGUUGACUUUGCGUCAUAACUUUUGUUGCUCCCAACCGUUCGAACACAAAACAAAGACAAUUUAAUUACUGUUUUAUAUACAACAUUGAAACGGUUUUUUAAAAACAUAGUCAUGACAUUUAUUUUUAAGGUUGCAUAUAAAGCACUUGUCAUUGUAUAUCAACACUACUCUAAUACUUUCUACUUGUUGCCUACAGCUGCCAUUACUACUUUCAUUGAUAUCUCCAAUGCCUCUGUUUGUUUAAAAAUACUUCAACUUCUAUUACAAUUUUUAAACAGAUUCAUCAGUUGACUAUAAUUAUUUUUGAUUUCUUUUAGCAACCUGUGACAGAGUUCUGCCCUGUGUCUCUGCAUGCUUUUUCUCAGAUCUCUGCAAAAAUGACAAAUAAAAACCUUGAACCUUCUAUAUUUUACCAUUAAAACGAAAUGUCCACUGUGGA